CCUGACUCCCUUUUAUAACUCUGGGAUUUGACAUGCACCCUGCAGCAUCCCACAUGCAACAGGUAGUGUUUGUUUCUUGUUUUCUGUAGGGAAGCGUGAAGAAUGAACCCUUAUCGUCCUGUCCAUUGUAACUCACUAAGAUUCAUUCCCAUCUGCAAAUGGGGAAAAUCUUCCUAGUUUCUACAGUAUCUACCAUUUCCUGCCAGUGAGAUAUCGCUGUUUUGGAGCAGUUCCUGAUUUCUCCUGCAACAACGCAUCUUCUUGUGACCCAGUGAGGUUCAGAAUCGGAUUUUUUUUAUAAUGACACUUGGUAAAUGGCUCCAGCUCUUGUGAUGAGAUAACUCGAGUUUAAGGUGAAGUUUCAUUGGAAAGCAUGCUACACCUGUACUUCUGCCCUACCACACCUUACACAGGAAAUCAAAAGAAAAUUCACCUUUUCUCCCAUGCCUUGUAAACACAGAAGUGGAUCCUUACUUGCUAAAAAUAACCCUGGUUUUGCUGUGCAAACAAUCACCCUUGGUCUUGUUCCCACUCACCCAUAAGAGCCCAAGUGAAAGAGCAGCUGAGUUCUGAGGAGGAGCCGAUUUUCAUAUGUGAGUGCAUUUGUAUUCUCUAUUUUUGGAGCGCUUAAGGAGAUGAUCUGGGGAAGACAGGAAGCACUCGUCCUCCACUUUCUGUCCAGCCAGGCACUCAGCUCCCUAGGGUGUAGAGGAAGAUGGAAAGGUUGACCAUGUUGUAAGGUAAACGAUUUUAACUAGCCCUCAAAAAUUUAUAUCUUGCUAUAUAAGCAUCUGUCCGCCUCUCUGGAUGGCAAACGGUGAUCAUUCUGCGAAAAGAAUUCUUUACAGCACUUCAUCCAGCUAGGCCCUUGUUUCGCAGUGCUUAGACAAACACUUUUCGGUUUAUGUAAAUAGUUGGUGGAUCAAAUUUCCCUAGCUGCCACACCCAACCAGCCUGAAUCACCAAGAGAAACAUAAGGAGAGUCAACUUUU
rnacentral:lncRNA from 1 species